rnacentral:rRNA from 1 species
CGGCAGACGGGUGAGUAACGCGUGGGAACAUACCUUUUGGUUCGGAACAACACAGGGAAACUUGUGCUAAUACCGGAUGAGCCCUUACGGGAAAGAUUUAUCGCCGAAAGAUUGGCCCGCGUCUGAUUAGCUAGUUGGCGAGGUAACGGCUCACCAAGGCGACGAUCAGUAGCUGGUCUGAGAGGAUGAUCAGCCACAUUGGGACUGAGACACGGCCCAG